ensembl:lncRNA
GGGUAAUUAACACAUUUGUUUUUGAAAUUUCUCAUCUUAAAGGACCAACUUUUACUGGCGACAUAUUAUGCCACCAGGUGUGAGUGUGAUUAGCCAUUAAAAGCGUUUUGAAAAUCGGCCUCUUCUGACAUCACAAGUGGGCGUGUCUACCUACACGUAACAGAUGAGCAACGUUUCCUACAGUCCACUUUUAGUGACUAAUCAUACUCACACCUGGGGGUAUAAUAGGUCACCUUUAAAGAAAUGUGUAUUUACGUAUUUAAAACGUCUCAAAUUGAUGGCUGUUGUCAGCAAUAAAAUUCCAAUGAAGAGAACACAGAAGGCCCAUCUUUCAAUUGACCAUAGCUCUGAUUGUUUCCUCUUUGCUUCUUCCAUCAGUGGCUAAGUUACGACUACAAGGAGUGAAUGUAGUGUUUGCUGUUUUCAUUCCUGUCACUGUCCUCUUUCUGCUACUCAUCGCCGGAAUCUACCUCUACUUCUCAAAGAGCCAGGGGAAGUCUCUACCAGUUUCCUCAACUCUGCCAUAUAGCCAGAUACUGGGGGAGUCAGCCUUUGAUAGCUCUGUGUACGAGACAAUGAAUAUUGAGGAGAGUGGAGCGUAUGAGGUUUCAAUCUGAAGGACGUGUGUGUGAGCACCAGCAACAGACAGAAAGCAUGCGGGCCAUCUGAACAGUCGUUGCUCAACCCUCCAUGUGAUCCCCUGGGGUUACUGUUGCCUGCACUUUAUUGUCUGAUUGCAAACGAAAGGCCACUUCUCCACCACACUCCAUAAUGCCCCUGGAACUUCUGUGCCACUAGAUUAUUGUAUUAUUUUUCUAAGCACCAGUGAUUGCAAUGGUUCGGCAGCCGUUUGUACAGUUUUUACCUGGCGCUCAAAUCCUGAAGACGUUCACAGCGCUGCAUCUCAGAAACCAUUUGCUGCUGAGCUUAAAGUGCAUUUUUGUGACAUGUAUGUUGUAAAUGAUAUUUCUUCUGCCUAACACUCUUAAAGGAAAUGGUCAGGUAUUUAUGGAGUUAUGGAGAAUAUAUUAGACUACAAAGAAAAAGCGAAAACAAUGAUUACUUUAAGGAUUUGCAUUUCAUAGCACUCAACGGCAAGAUUGUUUUAUUUUUGUCAAACCUUUCCUCCAAAAAAUCGGAAUGUGCCUUAAAUAAAAGGCUCUUAAAAACAAUGCAGUUCUAUAUGUUAUGAUUUCUCAGUUAUAAACACGAAAUACUGAAGAUACUGAUUUCUGCAAACACAAACCAUUACAUAUGAUUUGUGGUCCAAUUUUCCUUCGAUAACUACCUGUUUUGGUAAAUGCAUUAAAACAAAGAUCAAUAUCAUAUGUAUUUGUCAUGUAUUUCAUGUCAGCUGGAGUGCUGACCUAUUGACCUAUUUUUGAUUGUACAUAGUGUACUGAUUAAGCAACUUCACAAACAUCUUCAAUAAAAG